UACAGAGGAUGCAAGCGUUAUCCGGAAUGAUUGGGCGUAAAGCGUCUGUAGGUGGCUUUUUAAGUCCGCCGUCAAAUCCCAGGGCUCAACUCUGGACAGGACGGUGGAAACUCCAAGCUUGAGUACGGUAGGGGCAGAGGGAAUUUCCGGUGGAGCGGUGGAAAUGCGUAGAGAUCGGAAAGAACACCAACGGCGAAAGCACUCUGCUGGGCCGACACUGACACUGAGAGACGAAAGCUAGGGGGAGCGAAUGGG
rnacentral:rRNA from 1 species